GGAAAUGUGCCUGAACAAAAGGGUAACUUUGAUAGAGUUAACAAUAGAGAUUAGGCCCUCUCAUUUCCU
rnacentral:tRNA from 1 species